ensembl:misc_RNA 7SK 7SK RNA
GGAUGUGAGGAAGAUCUGACUGUGACAUCUGUCACACCCUGUUGAUUGCCAGGGUUGAUCUGGCUGAUCUGGCUGGCUAAGCAGGUAUCCCCAUCCUCCCUUACUGCUUUACAUGUGACCUUCUUGAAGCUGCACAUGUUCUGGUGGAAGAGGAUGACCUUCCUUGAUAGAGGAGGACCAUUCUUUUGUAAAGGGUAUAUGAGUAGCUGUGCUCCUCCCCUGCUAGAACUUCUAAAUAAGCUCUCAAGAAAUGCACUUUACUAUAAAGACACCAUAGAUUAGAAGUAAAGAAUGGAAACACAAAUCAAAAGAAAGCUGGAGGCCAGGCGCGGUGGCUCACGCCUGUAAUCCCAGCACUUUUG